UGAGUAACACGUAUCCAACCUGCCGUCUACUCUUGGACAGCCUUCUGAAAGGAAGAUUAAUACAAGAUGGCAUCAUGAGUCCGCAUGUUCACAUGAUUAAAGGUAUUCCGGUAGACGAUGGGGAUGCGUUCCAUUAGAUAGUAGGCGGGGUAACGGCCCACCUAGCCUUCGAUGGAUAGGGGUUCUGAGAGGAAGGUCCCCCACAUUGGAACUGAGACACGGUCCAA
rnacentral:rRNA from 1 species